rnacentral:lncRNA from 1 species
GUGGGGAGAGGAGGAUGGAGGGAGAGGAGGGCAGGAGGAAGGAGGGAGAGGAGGAUGGGAGGAAGGAGGGAGAGGAGGAAGGAGGGAGAGGAGGAUGGGAGGAUGGAGGGAGAGGAGGAUGGAGGGAGAUGUAGAACCAAGAGAAAAUACUAUGUCCACACCCACACACCCCCCUCCUUCCCUUCUCCCUUCCCUCCUUCCCUUCUCCCUUCCCUCCUUCCCUUCUCCCUUCCCUCCUUCCCUUCUCCCUUCCCUCCUUCCCUUCUCCCUUCCCUCCUUCCCUUCUCCCUUCCCUCCUUCCCUUCUCCCUUCCCUCCUUCCCUUCUCCCUUCCUCCUUCCCUUCUCCCUUCCCUCCUUCCCUUCUCCCUUCCCUCCUUCCCUUCUCCCUUCCCUCCUUCCCUUCUCCCUUCCCUCCUUCCCUUCUCCCUUCCCUCCUUCCCUUCUCCAUGCCCCACUGAACAGGAACGACUGUUGGUGUAGACUUCUUAGUGGACUUCUCCCUUUCUGUCCACUUAGUUCAUGCUCCAAUCACAUCAGCGUGUCAAUGUGUGUUUCCAAAUCAUAGAUGUACUAUUGUGAUGUCACUGUGUACACACACACACACACACACAGAUAUUCCACAUCUCUCUGGAGUGUGUGUAGUUCUGCACUGUCACAGAAUGAAACAGUGAUGUAACAGAAUGAAACAGUGAUGUAACAGAAUGAAACAGUGAUGUCACAGAAUGGAACAGUAAGGUCACAGAAUGGAACAGUGAUGUCACAGAAUGGAACAGUGAUGUCACAGAAUGGAACAGUGAUGUCACAGAAUGGAACAGGGAUGUCACAGCUAGGGAACUGAGAAGUGUGGAGUUACAGGCCCGAUAUCCGAGGGGACGGUUUUCAGGGUCACACCGUUUCCCAGACACAGACACUGAAGCUGCUGAAACAGCUUUUAAAACAGAAACACAAGAAGAAGAAGAAAAUUCAAUUGACGAUAAUCAUCUCAGCUUUGGACUUGAGGGAGG